rnacentral:rRNA from 1 species
GGACCCGCACAAGCGGUGGAGUAUGUGGCUUAAUUCGAUGCAACGCGAAGAACCUUACCUAGGCUUGACAUGCUUGUCGUACUCUCCCGAAAAGGAGAGGUCACUUCGGGUGGACAAUGCACAGGUGCUGCAUGGCCGUCGUCAGCUCGUGUCGUGAGAUGUUUGGUUAAGUCCAGCAACGAGCGCAACCCCUGUGAACUGUUGCCAGCGCGUAAAGGCGGGGACUCUGUUCAGACUGCCCAGAUCAACUGGGAGGAAGGUGGGGACGACGUCAGGUCAGUAUGGCCCUUACGCCUAGGGCUGCACACGUACUACAAUGCCCAGCACAAUGAGAACCGAGACCGCAAGGUGGAGGAAAUCUGCAAAACUGGGCCCAGUUCGGAUUGGAGGCUGCAACUCGCCUCCAUGAAGUCGGAAUCGCUAGUAAUCGCUGGU